AUUGAACGCUGGCGGCAGGCCUAACACAUGCAAGUCGAACGAGUGGCGGACGGGUGAGUAAUGUCUGGGAAACUGCCCGAUGGAGGGGGAUAACUACUGGAAACGGUAGCUAAUACCGCAUACCAAUGGAUGGGGCCAGGUGGGAGUAGCUAGUAGGUGGGGUAACGGCGCACCUGGGCGACCAUCCCUAGCGGGUCUGAGAGGAGGACCAGCCACACUGGAACUGAGACACGGUCCAGACGCCUACGGGAGGCAGCAGUGGGGAAUAUGGCACAAUGGGCGCAAGCCUGAGGCAGCCAUGCGGCGUGUAUGAAGAAGGCCUUCGGGUUUUAAAGUACUUUUGGCGAGAAGGCGUUACUCGCAGAAGAAGCACCGGCUAACUCCGUGUCAGCAGCCGCGGUAAUAC
rnacentral:rRNA from 1 species